rnacentral:rRNA from 1 species
UACAGAGGGGGCAAGCGUUGUUCGGAAUUACUGGGCGUAAAGGGCGCGUAGGCGGCCCGCUAAGUCGAACGUGAAAUCCCCGAGCUCAACUCGGGAACUGCGUCCGAUACUGGCGGGCUUGAAUCCGGGAGAGGGAUGCGGAAUUCCAGGUGUAGCGGUGAAAUGCGUAGAUAUCUGGAGGAACACCGGUGGCGAAGGCGACACGCUGGGCCGUACCUGACACUGAUGCGCGACAGCAUGGGGAGCAAACAGG